UUAAGUAGACCGCCUGGGGAGUACGGCCGCAAGGUUAAAACUCAAAUGAAUUGACGGGGGCCCGCACAAGCGGUGGAGCAUGUGGUUUAAUUCGAUGCAACGCGAAGAACCUUACCUGGUCUUGACAUCCACAGAAGAAUCCAGAGAUGGAUUUGUGCCUUCGGGAACUGUGAGACAGGUGCUGCAUGGCUGUCGUCAGCUCGUGUUGUGAAAUGUUGGGUUAAGUCCCGCAACGAGCGCAACCCUUAUCCUUUGUUGCCAGCGGUUCGGCCGGGAACUCAAAGGAGACUGCCAGUGAUAAACUGGAGGAAGGUGGGGAUGACGUCAAGUCAUCAUGGCCCUUACGACCAGGGCUACACACGUGCUACAAUGGCGCAUACAAAGAGAAGCGACCUCGCGAGAGCAAGCGGACCUCAUAAAGUGCGUCGUAGUCCGGAUUGGAGUCUGCAACUCGACUCCAUGAAGUCGGAAUCGCUAGUAAUCGUGGAUCAGAAUGCCACGGUGAAUACGUUCCCGGGCCUUGUACACACCGCCCGUCACACCAUGGGAGUGGGUUGCAAAAGAAGUAGGUAGCUUAACCUUCGGGAGGGCGCUUACCACUUUGUGAUUCAUGACUGGGGUGAAGUCGUAACAAGGUAACCGUAGGGGAACCUGC
rnacentral:rRNA from 1 species